ACUUAGAAAUAUUUGAUAGUUUUAAAAAAUGUCAAGAAUAACGAAAAACUAGAAAAAUACAUCAUUUUUCAAUUUUUUUCUCCAAUACUUGACGGGUUAGAAGCAUCACGUAAAAUUUUAUUUACUCGACAUUUUUUAAAUGUCAAAAAUUACCUAAUUUUAAAUAAAAUUUUCCCUUCUCUAAAAAAAAUAUAUUCCCAAAAUUUUCUUCUUCUUUAUUUUCUCUAUAUCCCCAAAUUUCCUUUUCCCCCAAAUUUCUUAACAAAUUCAUUUUCCCACGAUUCCUCAUCUUCUUCACAUGCAUUAUACCAAACCCUUUUGCCCUUGCAUGAUUUUUCUUCUGCACAAAAAAUUUCCACCAAUCCACGCAACAAUGUCCGACAGAGGGAAAGGAGGAAAAGGUCUUGAAAAGGGAGAAGAAACUCGAAUGUUCUCAAGAUAUUCCUUAAAAAUUUCAUUCGCGACAUCGUCACUUACACUGAGCACACUCUCCGGAAGACUGUCACCGCCAUGGAUGUUGUGUACGCGCUCAAUAAGCAAGGACGUACUCUAUACGACUUCGGAGGUUUGGGUUAAUGAAACCUAGGGCUUGGAUUUGGAGGUUUUGACUAAUAAUGUAUGGGAAGUUGCAAACUGAAAUGCAUCAGAUCUGAGGUUUUCUUAUAAAAAAAAUGGAAGAAGGAAAGCACAAGCUUCUGACUAUACUGACAUCAAAAUAUGUAGUGGUCCUGAAGAUUAUGUAGCAGAGUACUACCAGCAGCAGGGGAAAUACUCUAGACAGCCAUAAGCUUAUAUAUUUGGAAGGUCAACAAGACUUAGGCAAACAACAAGUUCUUGUGGAGGAGUUGUGCGUUGAAUACUUCACUCAGGGAAAAUACAUUGGUGACCGGUAACUCAAUUGUGAAUAAGAUUUUAGGAUGAUGUGAUUUAUGUAAUUGUGAACAAUAUUUAUUAUUAAUUGUGCACAACACUUAUUAUUACAUAUACUUUGUGUUUUAUGAUUAAGAAUGAUGUUUAUAACUCGUUUUGUAAUAGAACGAUAUGUUUCUAUGUUGUAAGUAUAUUGUUUUGACCAACGAUAUGUAUAUGUUCAAUGAUAUAUACGCAAUUUGUUAGUUAUUUGAUUGAA